rnacentral:misc_RNA from 1 species
AACGCAAAUUGCGCUCGAGGCCUCGGCCGAGAGCAUGCCUGCCUCAGCGUCGGUUUCACCCUCUCAUGCCCACUUUUUUGUUUUGCAAAAAAGGGGUAUGGACCUGGUGGUGUCGGUUGCCUCGGCAACCGGCUCCGCCGAAAUGCAGACGGCCUUGCAGCGCCCCAUCUAAGCGCGGCAACAUGGUAGGUGGAAGCGGUUGCCCUCCUUCUCAGGAGGAGCAGCCCUCUGCAUGCCGUUGUCGCGUCCGGGGUCGGCAUGACCGUGCAGGAGCGAGGUUCGGCCUCGACACUCAAACCUUCGACCUGAGCUCAGGCAAGAGCACCCGCUGAACUUAA